UCAUGUUUAGUCCUCCUAAUUAGUCUCCGAAUAUUCGAUGUGACAUGAAUUUUAGUCCGGAUUAAAGAUCCAAACACCUCCUAAUGCUAGCACUAGGAAUACAAUUUUUCCAAAACACAAACGCACAAGUCGUGAACUUGAAUCAAUAUGGCAAGGUUACUGCCGAGUAAGUAUAAUGAGAUGCUAAUUGAAGGAUUAAAUUAACUUGAAGAAAUAUAUUACUACUCUCUCCGUUUCAAAUCGUAAUCAUUUUGAUUUUUUUAAAUACAUAGAUUUUGCUAUGUAUUUAGACAUAAUGUGUACUACUUAGAUAUGCAUAGUAAAAAAUCAUGCAUCUAGAAAAAGAUAAAAAAUAACUUACAAUUUGAAACGGUGCAGAUGGAGUAGUAGUGAUCAUUAGUACACAAUGGUUACCUUUUAAGUAUUUUGAGACUUAAUCUGAAUUGAUAGCUAGCAUUUGGUCGAUAUGUGUACCACUCCGGCCAUCCAUUUUCAAUUUCGUUGAGGUUUAAUUAGGAGCUAGGGUUAGAGUUCUUGUUCUUCCAAACACACACACAUCUGAGGAUCAAAGGAAGUUACGGAUAUGAUGUUCACAAACAUAAAAAAUAUCAUUGGGGGAGAUUGGACUAGAAGAAGUCCUAGUGAACUAUAGCAGCAUACAUGACAGCAUGACACAGCUGAUCCUCUCCCUCCCCGCUGCAAGAGAGAACAAAGUACAUGCAUGCGCAUCACGAGCGGUUGCUAACUCUGCUUCCGCUGGAUCUCAAAGUUUAAUAGUACCUGGCUUAGUGUUGGCUAGCGGAAUAGUUGCAUGUUCUUUUCCUUCGGAAUUGCUGUAUCACGUUUCCGUCCAUAAAUGCCUCGAGCAAGGCCGGCUACCAAACAAAAAUAUAAUUCGGAGGCAGGCACGUACGGUAACGUACCCGCGCCAGCAGAGAUCAUCGUGAUGCCAAGGAGGAAUCCACAUGCAUGACCUGCA
rnacentral:lncRNA from 1 species